rnacentral:rRNA from 1 species
AUUGAACGCUGGCGGCAUGCUUUACACAUGCAAGUCGAACGGUAACAGGCCCUCGGGUGCUGACGAGUGGCGAACGGGUGAGUAAUGCAUCGGAACGUGCCCAGAGGUGGGGGAUAACGCAGCGAAAGCUGUGCUAAUACCGCAUGUGAUCUGAGGAUGAAAGCGGGGGACCAAGCAGCAAUGUUUGGCCUCGCGCCUCUGGAGCGGCCGAUGUCAGAUUAGGUAGUUGGUGGGGUAAAGGCCUACCAAGCCGACGAUCUGUAGCUGGUCUGAGAGGACGACCAGCCACACUGGGACUGAGACACGGCCCAGACUCCUACGGGAGGCAGCAGUGGGGAAUUUUGGACAAUGGGCGCAAGCCUGAUCCAGCAAUGCCGCGUGCGGGAAGAAGGCCUUCGGGUUGUAAACCGCUUUUGUACGGAACGAAAAGGCUCUGGCUAAUACCUGGGGCUGAUGACGGUACCGUAAGAAUAAGCACCGGCUAACUACGUG